GCCGCCGUAGACCAACGGCAGAGUCAGUGGUCUGAGAGGCCAUGCAGUGCCGGUUCGAAUCCGGCCGGCGGCA
rnacentral:tRNA from 1 species